AAUCAAUCCCACACGGAGCAGAAGAGUCUCUCAGCUCAGAUCUGUUCAACUUCUUUACCCACAAAAUUGUGAGAUAUAAUAUAUUAAAGAGAGGCCAGGUGUGGUGGAUCAAGCCUGUAAUCCAAAUGCUUUGGGAAGACAAGGUGGGAGGAUCACUUGAGGCCAGGAGUUUGAGAGCAGCCUGGGCAACACAGCAAGACGUCAUCUCUUCGAAAAGUAAGAAAUAAAAAAAAUUAUCCGGGGGUGGUGGUGCAUGCCUGUAGUUCCAGCUACUUGGGAGACUGAGGUGAGAGGAUCACUUGAGCCCCAGGAGUUCAAGAUUGCAGUGAGCAGUGAUUGUACAACUGCACUCCAGCCUGGGCAACAGAAUGAGACUUUGUCUCUAGAAAAAUAAAAUAGGCCAGUUGCAGUGGCUCACACCUAUAAUCCCACCACUUUUGGAGGCUGAGGUGGGAGGAUCACUUGAGCUCAGGAGUCCAAGACCAACCUGGACAAUGUGGUAAAAC
rnacentral:lncRNA from 10 species